CUUUUGUGGGGGAAACCCGAAAGAAAGAAAAGAAAGCAGUUUUUCUCUUUCCCUCUGACUUCAUCAAAUACGGCAGUGUCUGAAACUUCUAUGGAGUUAUUUCUGUCUUCCUCUGGGUAAAAUAAAAAAUAAAGAAUUCUGCAGCCCCCCAACUUCCCUCCCGUUUUGCCUGCCUCUCUCUCUCUCUGUCUCUCAUAUCAGCAUCAGGGGCAAUGGGAAAAGUUACUGGCUGGUACUCAGGCUGGCACAUUGCUUUGCUAGCCGCCCGGACAUGGUUUUUGAUCCUUACAUUUGGCUUUACCGGAGCAGAAAUCACUUGCAGAUCGUGCCAUUGGCAGGUGCAGCUACAACAGCAGCAGCGGCAGCAGCAGCAACAACCUCAGCAAGGAUUAUUAAUGCACUUGAGGACGGGACGAAAAGGAGAUGAGGCAAGGAGGAUAAUACCUGUGGAGAAAAGAGGUGAGAGGCGGCUAGGUCGUGGGGAGGAGGUGGCUGAUGUUGGGGAUAAAGCUCUCUCCGUUUCUGCUCCCGCUGGGGAGAAGUAUGCCAGACUGGAAUCCAAAAGAUUGAUGGGAUCGAGGAAACUGGCCGGCCAGCUCUCCGAGGCUCGGAUCAGCCUCAGCCUGUCGCCCUCGGAUGUUAAUGAGCCCACUCGCUCAAAGUUCCCUUCUGCUGCUCCUCGGUUCCCUGGGGUUGCCGGUGGGCACUCCCCAGCCAACUCUGAGGCCAUCCGUGCCGCCAGAUCGGCGUUCCUCGGCCGGCUGAGACAGAGCAAGUCGUCUCGGAGGAGACAACAGAGCCGGAAGCCCAGAGGAGCUCCGGCUGAAAGAGACCAGCAGCUGGAGAGCAAGGACCGAGCAUCCCUGGAGCAGCUGCAGGGGAAAGCCACGCGCUUCAGGUUGGAGGAACUGAAAUUGACUAGCACGACCUUUGCCCUCACUGGGGAUUCGGCGCAUAACCAAGCCAUGGUGCAUUGGUCAGGCCACAACAGCAGCGUGAUUUUAAUUCUGACAAAGCUGUAUGACUACAACCUGGGGAGUAUCACGGAGAGCUCACUAUGGAGAUCAACAGAUUAUGGCACAACAUAUGAAAAGCUGAAUGACAAAGUGGGUUUGAAGACUAUUCUGAGUUACCUCUACGUCUGUCCAACUAAUAAGCGCAAGAUUAUGUUGCUUACUGACCCGGAAAUUGAGAGCAGCCUGCUGAUCAGUUCUGAUGAAGGAGCCACUUAUCAGAAAUACCGGCUGAACUUCUACAUCCACAGCAUGCUCUUCCAUCCCAAGCAGGAGGACUGGAUUCUGGCCUACAGUCAGGAUCAGAAGUUGUACAGUUCGGUUGAGUUUGGAAGAAGAUGGCUACUUCUCCAAGAAAAUGUAACACCAAACAGAUUCUACUGGUCCAGAAUGGGUACCAGUAAAGAGCCAGACAUAGUUCACCUGGAGGCAAAGACAAUGGAUGGCCAUGCACAGUACAUCACCUGCAGGAUGCAGAACUGCUCUGAAGCUAUAAGAAGUAAACCUUUUCCAGGAUACAUUGACUCCGACUCCCUCAUUGUCCAGGAUGAUUAUGUGUUUGUUCAGCUGACAUCAGGAAGCCGGCCUCAUUACUACGUGUCCUAUCGGAGAAAUGCAUUUGCACAGAUGAAGCUUCCUAAAUAUGCUUUGCCAAAGGACAUGCACGUUAUCAGCACUGAUGAGAAUCAGGUAUUCGCAGCAGUCCAGGAGUGGAACCAGAAUGAUACUUACAACCUUUACAUAUCGGACACCCGAGGGAUUUACUUCACCCUGGCUUUGGAAAAUGUCAAGAGCAGCCGAGACCUGGAGGGCAAUGUGAUGAUAGACCUCUAUGAGGUAGCAGGGAUAAAGGGAAUGUUCUUGGCUAACAAGAAGAUUGACAACCAAGUGAAAACUUUCAUCACCUACAAUAAAGGCAGAGACUGGCACUUGCUUCAGGCUCCGGACAUGGAUCUGAGAGGAAACCCAGUUCACUGCCUCCUGCCCUAUUGCUCCCUGCAUCUCCACUUGAAGGUUUCAGAGAAUCCAUACACUUCAGGCAACAUUGCCAGUCGGGAUACGGCUCCAGGCAUCAUUGUGGCCUCUGGUAACAUUGGAACAGAGUUGUCAGACAACGAUAUCAGCAUGUUUGUUUCAUCUGAUGCUGGCAACACUUGGAGACAAAUCUUUGAAGAGGAACACAGUGUUCUUUAUCUGGAUCAAGGCGGGGUUUUGGUUGCCAUGAAACAUACGUCUCUGCCUAUCAGACAUCUCUGGUUAAGUUUUGAUGAGGGAAGAUCCUGGAGCAAGUACAGCUUCACUUCCAUCCCGCUUUUUGUUGAUGGAGUUUUGGGUGAGCCUGGUGAAGAGACCCUGAUAAUGACAGUUUUUGGGCACUUUAGCCAUCGCUCCGAGUGGCAGCUGGUGAAAGUGGACUACAAAUCCAUUUUUGACAGAAGGUGUGCUGAAGAUGACUACCGACCCUGGCAGCUUCAUAGCCAGGGAGAAGCAUGCAUCAUGGGAGCCAAGAGAAUCUACCAGAAGCGUAAGUCAGAAAAGAAAUGCAUACAAGGAAAGCAUGCAGGAGCCAUGACAUCUGAACCAUGUGUUUGCACAGAGGCCGACUUUGAUUGUGACUACGGAUUUGAGCGUCACAGCAAUGGACAUUGUUUGCCAGCAUUUUGGUACAACCCAUCCUCCUUGUCAAAAGACUGCAGUCUUGGUCAGAGUUAUCUCAACAGCACGGGGUAUAGGAAGGUUGUUUCUAAUAACUGCACAGACGGCGUUCGUGAGCAGUACACAGCCAAGCCUCAGCAGUGUCCUGCCAAGGCCCCACGAGGGCUUCGAGUUGUCACUUCAGAUGGCACCCUGACAGCAGAACAAGGGCACAACAUUACCUUCAUGGUGCAGCUGGAAGAGGGUGAUAUCCAAAGAUCAAUAAUCCGUGUGGAGUUUGGAGAUGGCAGUGCUGUGUCAUAUGCCAAUCUCAGCUCAACAGAAGAUGGGAUCAAGCACAUCUACCAAACUGUGGGAAUUUUCCGAGUGACUGCACAGGUGGAAAACAGCCUGGGGGCCGACAGUGCUGUCCUGUACUUGCAUGUAAAUUGCCCUUUGGAAAAUGUCCAUUUGUCACUGCCAUUUGUAACGACAAAGAACAAAGAAGUUAAUGCCACCGCAGUGCUGUGGCCCAGUCAAGUUGGAACAUUAACUUAUAUUUGGUGGUUUGGAAACAACACUGAGCCACUGAUCACCCUGGAAGGGAGCAUCACAUUUACAUUCUCCGCAGAAGGGAUGAACAGUAUCACAGUGCAGGUUUCUGCAGGAAAUGUCAUUCUGCAGGACACCAAGAUGAUUGCAGUGUAUGAGCAAUUUAAAUCUCUACGACUAUCCUUCUCUCCAAAUCUGGAUGAAUACAACCCAGACAUCCCUGAAUGGAGACGGGACAUCAGUCGAGUCAUCAAGACUGCUCUUGUUGAGGCAACUGGAAUUUCCAGCAAUCACAUUUUGGUGGCAAUCCUGCCAGGUUUACCCACAUCUGCUGAACUCUUUAUUUUGCCCUAUAAAGAUGCCACAGGAGAAGGCAAACAAACAGCAGAAGACCUGCAGCAGAUUUCAGAAAUAUUGCUCCAGAAACUGAACCAAAACUCCAUCCAGUUUGACCUAAAGCCUGGAGUUCAAAUUCUUGUCCAUGUUGCACAUUUAACAGCUGCCCCUCUCAUAGAUGUCACGCCUAGCCACAGUGGUUCAGCCAUGUUGAUGCUGCUGUCAGUGGUAUUUGUGGGCUUGGCAGUAUUUGUAAUCUACAAAUUUAAAAGGAAGAUUCCGGGCAUUAAUGUUUAUGCACAGAUGCAGAAUGAGAAAGAUCAAGAGAUGGUCAGUCCAGGCAGUCAAAGUGAAAGCAUGCCUAAUGUCCCUCAAAGUGAGCUGAUGACCCCAGAGCAACUAGUAGAUGAGAAGUUGGAUAACCGGCCCAUAGACUAUCAAAGGAAUUUCUUCAAAGAUAACAAGUUGAGGACUGCAGCCAAAAGGCAAAUGGAAACUGAACAAGAUGAAUGGUUGCCAGAUUUCCAAAGACUAAUUCUUGUACCCAAGAGGCUAUUGGGAGGAAAAUUUCCUGGACAUCCUGGACACCAACCAGCGAGCGUGACCAGACAGCCAAGGACUGCCCAGGGUCCAGAACCAGACAGUGCAUAGACUGUUGUCCUGCUGAUGAGCACGCUGGCGGUCAGAUGUAUGAGGAGCGCUCGUCAGGCGCAGGAAGUAUUUCCACAGUUGCUGAGACUCAAAGCACAAAAGAAAUCCCUACCUGUAUAAAUGUUUGAAACAAGGACACCGGGUCUGGCUAUAUCCCCUUCACCCCUAUAUAUAUAUGUAUAAAAAAGAAACCAAUCACUGCGUUUGGACUUUUUGAUUCUUCUGAUGACAAAAGGGUUUUUAGCUUUAAGCCUGUGCAUGUGGAUGUCAUUUGGAUAACAUAUUUGGAACUGCAGUGUACAGGUGCUCUAUUUUAAUGGGGGGAAUGGAAAGAAAAAUAACUUCCUCUUACCCCUCUCCUCUCUUCUUUUCUAAUUGAAGUUUAAUUUGUAGAUUAUUCCUAAUGAUAUAGGCCAAUAAUGUGCAUGGGGUCUUUUGGGGAGGGAAUGAGGUAGGGUGCAAAGUCCUGAUGAUUGAGAUAACUUUAAUGCUUUUAGCACUGCAGGAUUGUAGGUAGAUUCACCACCCCAACCUACAUUCCUAAAACACACAGAGAAACUGCAUUGGCAUUUAAAGGCACCAUGAUGUUCUUAUGUUUUCUCUCCCCAACCCUGAUGUCUUCAUUCAGCUUUUUAAUUUUAUCUUCCUUCCUUCCUUUCUAGAGCUGAUUUUCAUUUCAGUUUGAGGCCCCAAAGCAGCUUGGGUUCCACUUACUGGCACAAUCCAAUUCUUCCUUGCACAGAUGCUUUGCUCCUUCAUUCAUGCCUAUCUGGUACAAUGAAGAAUUUAUGUCGGUCCCCUCAGAGACUUGCAUCUAGACACAUGGGAUGAAGUGUCAGCUAGUCCAAGCCUUCCCUUUGAAGCAUCUGGCCACACAAGACAUUUCACUCUCAAGUACUGUUAGGUUCCUUCUGCACAUACAUACCCACUGCAAUCAAGACUAAGUGCAUAAUUUUGCCACCCAGUCCACAUGGAUUCAGUCCUGAUUAGGAUUUUUAUCAACAGCUUCAUGCUCUUUCCCUACAUUCCCAUUACUCUGCUUAUUUUAACACUUCUUCAGAAUGGAAGCAGACAAUAGAGUUUAAGAGUGCUGUGCUGCAUGAGCCAUUGCUUCCCACACACACAUUAUUAUUAUUAUUUUUCUCUCUUCCUUCUGACCAAAGAGGUUUGGCAAGACUUUUCUCUCUUUUGGCAGGCUUUUAACAUGAUUUUUUUUUUAAAAAAACCCUUGCAAAAAUAAAUUACUAAAAUAAGUGUGCAAACCAUGAACAGCAUUCCCUCUUUCAAAAUGCCUUCAGUUCUCUGGGGGUAAAAACAACUGUACCCUAUCUCCAGCCUCAGUUUGCUUGCUAGCUUCCUACAUAACUUUGGAGAACUAUGAUACAGCUCCAGCAUCAUAGCUGUUCAACUAUCUGGUGACUCUUUGUGUGAGUUCUAGGGCUAUGCACAACAAAUAAUGUCCUUAAAAACUGCCCAUAGGAAGAGGCAAUUGACCACAGUUGACCUAUUCACAAGAAAUAUGACUAGAAAUGAUACAUGCCCAACCAGACGUAAAUCAGUGUAUUAUUGAGUUCAUGCUACAUGUUUCAUUCUGCAGCAGCCCUAUUCAAAGUAUAUCCCCCUCCCUCUGUACUCUCAGUGUCAAAUUCAGAGAAAUCAGUAUAAUUAUUGUGGUCUGAUUAAUUUCUCAUAUUAAGGAGUCACCACAGCCAGCUACAGAUGCUGCUGGACUUUGCCUUAAAGUGGAUUUAUUAUUAUUAUUAUUAUUAUUAUUAUUAUUAUUAUUAUUAUUUGGGGGGGUUAAUGAGACCUGCAAAAACAAACAAACAAAAACAUUAGCCCAUUUUAGAGCAAACUCCAGACCCACUGGAGUUUGUAUUCUAUCUAUCUAUCUAUCUAUCUAUCUAUCUAUCUAUCUAUCUAUCUAUCUUAGAUCUACUUUUUAGGCUAGGCCUCUUCCAGGUUCUAUUAGCCCUGAUGCCAAUCACAUUGCAGAUGAAGAUGGACAGGAGCCCUAUGAAGAGUGUCUUUUGUGCUCUUGUGCAUUAGUGGAGUAUCUAGGGAAUCAGGUCAGCAUAGGAACUGCAGCUCCCAUGAUUUCCAGUUUCACUGAAUGCAUUAUGCAUCAAGGAUCUCUUGGCAUUUCUGCAUUGGGGUUAUCUUGGCUAUUCUGGUAAAUAAUAUACCAUGUUGUAUAGUGGGAACUGGACUUUAGAUGUGUGGCCCAAGCCCUGUGAUUCAGUGCCUAGAAGCUACUAAGUCAGAGUUUCUUAAACUGGGGUCCAUGGGAUAGGUUCAGUGGUCUCUGGAAAAUUAAAUAUAUAGUUAAAAGUAGCUCCCCAAAAACAAGUCUAGAUAGAUAGAUAGAUAGAUAGAUAGAUAGAUAGAUAGAUAGAUAGAUAUAAAAUUAGAUAGUUUUUAUAUAAAAACUAACACACACACACACACACACACACACACAUAUUUGGGAUCCUACUAAAGUCUAACAGGUUUUCUAUAGCUUCUUCAGCCUUUGGAAAAUAUUAUGUACAUAAAGUAGGGGUCCAUGGGUAAUAAUUGAUCUGGGGGUGGGGUGUCCAAAAGUGCAAGAAUGUUAAGAACUCCUGCUUAAGUGCUUGAAUUAAGAACCUCUGCUUAAGUGCAUAGGAUGUUUUUCAGAUCCUAUUGGUGUUUCAGGGAAAUACCAAUUUGGACCAAUAUAGUCAAUAAUACAGUCCAUUCAAACGACUUCCAAAGUUGACUUAAGCAUUCACUGAUUUCUUUAGGACAGGUUGGUUCAUUCUUGAACGUCCUCUAGUGAGGUUUAUUAGGAUUCAAAUUUAAGAUGAAUUGGAACUCCAUAUUCAUAUAUUUCCAAAUUGGUUAAAUAGUUAAUAUGAUUUGUAUGUUAUAGUUCAAAGUGAAUUAGAUAGUCAACAGUUCAAAUGUUUGAACUCUUAUGAACACUUUGAAAUGUGCACUGUAGAAGUAUGAGUUUCAAAAUAAGAAGUAAUGGAAAAUUGGGCAUCUUAAUAAUGAACAAGCCAUUAGAACUGCUCUUUAAAGAAAUUAACUAAUGCCUUGUAUAUGGCAACGGAUUAAAAUGUCGAUCCAUUGUUUCACAGCUACAUAAGCUGACACUGGAGGACUUCAAAGUGUAUAAAAAAUUUUUUGACCCAAAUUACUUAAACUGAUGCCAAUUUAAAGGGAAAAUCUAGGAAGUUCCACAAAAACGCAGUAGCAGCAGAGUGGUAGUCGAAGGCCACUACGCUUACACAUUGUUGUAAUCAGUGUGGUUGCAUUUAUGUUUCUUGCUAGCCAUUCUAAAAUUAUGGACAUUGCAGAAUGGCAUUAUGCACCACAGAUGUUGUGGCCUGAGGCAAUUCUAGGAAUAACACACCUAUGCAUCAUCCUAAAGUAAUUUGUCUGCUGUGGAGCUGCAUAUGUGCCAGUCAUAGUCACCAGCUAUGUUGAAAUAUCCUGUUAUGAUGGAAUUGGAUCUGGCAGAUAUCUUAGCAAGGUAAAGUUGUCCCAUACAUGCUGAUACAAACAUAAUGGCACAAGUUGCAACUAUUCUCUGAGUUGCAAUGGCUACAUAUAAAUUUAGGACUAGAAUCCCACUCUUGUUCAUUUCAAUGGGACUAAAUCAGAUUGAAUCCAAGUACCCUAGCCUAAUGGGUUAUGGAUUACAGGCCAAAUGGCUACCAGUUCAUAUACAAAAUUUAAUGUGACUAUGAGGACUGUGGGUCAUUUUUUAAAAUAUGUGGCAUCUGGUGGUCAUGUGAAUGCUUUUACAAGUUUUUAACUCACCACUCUUAGAGUUGAUUUGGUCAGCCAUAUAGGCUCCUUUUCAUAUUGCUUCAGCACUGCUUCCAUAUGGCAAGACCCUACAAUGAUGUAACCUUUGCAAGUCCCUCACAUCUGGGCAACCAUAAAAUUCUAUUGGCCACCAAGUCUACAUACUUAUGUUAUUCUAAUGGUUACUUUAGCAGUGUGGCUUACUGCAGCAAUGUAGGAUCUGGUUACAAGGAAGCAGCUCUCAUUAUCACUGAAGAAAUAUAAGGGGCCUAGAGUCCUACCCUCAACUGCAGCUCCUCACCACAAUUAAGCUAGUGCUACUACUCCUUUGCAGCUACUUGGACAUGCAGAAAUAAAGGGAGGUAUCCUUAAGUGUGUGUUCAGAUGAUCCUACAAAUGACAAUCUUUCCACAUUGUUAGGAAUCACUUGUCAGGCUCUUAAGUGGUGGCUUCCCUAGGAAAUCCUUGAAAUGUGGAUUGAACCAGAAAGUGGGUGGCCCAUAAUAAUGGAAAAUGUCAGGGAAUGAGCUGAGCUGAAGAGAAUUCUGACAUGUAGUUUUCCACAUCAAGUUUAUUUUGAAUGUGAAAUGAGCAAACUAUGAAAAUAGGAGUGUUUAAUGAUUUCAGUCUGAUGAUGUCAUCUAGGAUUCCUCUGCACCUUUUUCUUCAAGAUUAGGCAUCACUCAUGUGUCUAUAGACGUAGCUUUCUGGAUGAUGGGGAAAUAGUUGAUCAUUGUAUAGAAACCCACACAAUUCUAACAGGCCAUGGAAAUCCAAUAUUAGCCAAGUUAUUUUUAUAGAAGGUCAACUUGAUUUUUCUUCUUCUUAUAGCAUUGGAACUACUGCUACUUUUAAAAUGACUUUUUGAUGUAAUUUUUUCCCUCUUGGUUGGAUACAAUGUAGUGUAAUGUAUAAUUGCUAUUGUUUAUUGCUUUUACAGUCAUAUUUAUUAAACAGAUUAUGUCUCUAAAUGAA